rnacentral:rRNA from 1 species
UACGUAGGGUGCAAGCGUUAUCCGGAUUCACUGGGUUUAAAGGGUGCGUAGGCGGGCAGGUAAGUCAGUGGUGAAAUCUCCGGGCUUAACCCGGAAACUGCCAUCGAUACUCUCUGUCUUGAAUAUGGUGGAGGUAAGCGGAAUAUGUCAUGUAGCGGUGAAAUGCUUAGAGAUGACAUAGAACACCUAUUGCGAAGGCAGCUUACUACGCCUAUAUUGACGCUGAGGCACGAAAGCGUGGGGAUCAAACAGG